rnacentral:rRNA from 1 species
UACGUAGGUGGCAAGCGUUGUCCGGAAUUACUGGGCGUAAAGAGCGCGCAGGCGGCUGGUCAAGUCCGAUGUGAAAGCUCCCGGCUUAACUGGGAAAUUGCAUCGGAAACUGAUCGGCUUGAAGGUGGGAGAGGGUAGUGGAAUUCCCGGUGUAGUGGUGAAAUGGGUAGAUAUCGGGAGGAACACCAGUGGCGAAGGCGACUACCUGGCCCACUCUUGACGCUGAGGCGCGAAAGCUAGGGGAGCGAACGGG